rnacentral:rRNA from 1 species
UAGGGAAUCUUCGGCAAUGGACGAAAGUCUGACCGAGCAACGCCGCGUGAGUGAAGAAGGUUCUCGGAUCGUAAAACUCUGUUGUUAGAGAAGAACAAGGACGUUAGUAACUGAACGUCCCCCGACGGUACCUAACCAGAAAGCCACGGCUAACUACGUGCCAGCAGCCGCGGUAAUACGUAGGUGGCAAGCGUUGUCCGGAUUUAUUGGGCGUAAAGCGAGCGCAGGCGGUUUCUUAAGUCUGAUGUGAAAGCCCCCGGCUCAACCGGGGACGGUCAUUGGAAACUGGGAGACUUGAGUGCGGAAGAAGAGAGUGGAAUUCCGUGUGUAGCGGUAAAAUGCGUAGAUAUAUGGGGGAACACCAGUGGCGAAGGCGGCUCUCUGGUCAGUAACUGACGCUGAGGCUCGAAAGCGUGGGGAGCAAACAGG